AGGGAAGUUAAGUGACCCCGUGUCUACCACCGGGAUGUUCAUAACCCUUUGUUGUCCGACUCUGUUGCCUCCGGGGCGACCCUGCCUUCGGGCGGGGGCUCCGGGUGGACACUUCAAACUCUUGCGUAACUUUGCAGUCUGAGUAAACUUAAUCAAUAAAUUAAAACUUUUAACAACGGAUCUCUUGGUUCUGGCAUCGAUGAAAAACGCAGCGAAAUGCGAUAAGUAAUGUGAAUUGCAGAAUUCAGUGAAUCAUCGAAUCUUUGAACGCACAUUGCGCCCCCUGGUAUUCCGGGGGGCAUGCCUGUUCGAGCGUCAUUUCACCACUCAAGCCUCGCUUGGUAUUGGGCAUCGCGGUCCGCCGCGUGCCUCAAAUCGACCGGCUGGGUCUUCUGUCCCCUAAGCGUUGUGGAAACUAUUCGCUAAAGGGUGUUCGGGAGGCUACGCCGUAAAACAACCCCAUUUCUAAGGUUGACCUCGGAUCAGGUAGGGAUACCCGCUGAACUUAAGCAUAUCAAUAAGCGGAGGAA
rnacentral:rRNA from 1 species